AAAAUAAUGUAAGUAAUAUACCCUUUUAGAUUUGCAACCUAUACAGCAAUUACUGCCAUUU
rnacentral:tRNA from 1 species